rnacentral:ncRNA from 2 species
GUCCAAAGGUCAGCUCAGUGUGGACAGAAACCACAUGCUGAGCAUAAGGACAAAAGCUGGCUUGAUCUCGAUGUUCAGUACAACUACGUAUACUCAUUUUUGG